rnacentral:rRNA from 1 species
UACGGAGGAUGCGAGCGUUAUCCGGAUUUAUUGGGUUUAAAGGGUGCGCAGGCGGCACGGCAAGCCGGCGGUCAAAUCGCGGGGCUCAACCCCGCCCAGCCGUCGGAACUGCCGGGCUAGAGUGGGCGAGAAGUGCGCGGAAUGCGUGGUGUAGCGGUGAAAUGCAUAGAUAUCACGCAGAACUCCGAUUGCGAAGGCAGCGCACCUGCGCCCUACUGACGCUCAGGCACGAAAGCGUGGGUAUCGAACAGG